rnacentral:ncRNA from 2 species
UUAAAGCAUCAAGAAGCGACCUGAAGAGGGUCGCGCCAACCGAGCCGGGAGGCCACGGUGGUCUGGAGCAGAAGACCGCUCCGAUGCGCGAGAGGGUUCCCUCGAAAAUAAUGUCCACCU